rnacentral:rRNA from 1 species
UGAAGAGUUUGAUCAUGGCUCAGAUUGAACGCUGGCGGCAGGCCUAACACAUGCAAGUCGAACGGUAACAGGAAGCAGCUUGCUGCUUCGCUGACGAGUGGCGGACGGGUGAGUAAUGUCUGGGAAACUGCCUGAUGGAGGGGGAUAACUACUGGAAACGGUGGCUAAUACCGCAUAACGUCGCAAGACCAAAGAGGGGGACCUUCGGGCCUCUUGCCAUCAGAUGUGCCCAGAUGGGAUUAGCUUGUUGGUGAGGUAACGGCUCACCAAGGCGACGAUCCCUAGCUGGUCUGAGAGGAUGACCAGCCACACUGGAACUGAGACACGGUCCAGACUCCUACGGGAGGCAGCAGUGGGGAAUAUUGCACAAUGGGCGCAAGCCUGAUGCAGCCAUGCCGCGUGUAUGAAGAAGGCCUUCGGGUUGUAAAGUACUUUCAGCGGGGAGGAAGGUGUUGUGGUUAAUAACCGCAGCAAUUGACGUUACCCGCAGAAGAAGCACCGGCUAACUCCGUGCCAGCAGCCGCGGUAAUACGGAGGGUGCAAGCGUUAAUCGGAAUUACUGGGCGUAAAGCGCACGCAGGCGGUCUGUCAAGUCGGAUGUGAAAUCCCCGGGCUCAACCUGGGAACUGCAUUCGAAACUGGCAGGCUUGAGUCUUGUAGAGGGGGGUAGAAUUCCAGGUGUAGCGGUGAAAUGCGUAGAGAUCUGGAGGAAUACCGGUGGCGAAGGCGGCCCCCUGGACAAAGACUGA